CUUGUGCAAGACCAGCUUGGGGAGAAAAGGGGAGGUAAGAAAGACACACAAGGAGUUUGUUUUUAUGAUUUUUUUCCCCCAGAGAUGAACUUCCUGGAUCGUAGGGUUCAGGAAAUGAUGUCAUGCUUUUCUUGAAGUAUAUCGUCUGGAGCUGAUGCCAAGAAGUCCCCUGGGGGUCAAAGAAAUGUCUCCGCAGAAGACAAAACAGAAGAUUGCCUGGUCCUUUCUCAGCAUCCGCACUCCUCGGCGGUCUCCACUUUGUCCUACUAUGGAUAUUUACAAGACCUGUGGAUAGUAUGGUGGACAUUUACAAGGGUUCCUGUGAUAGACAAGGUGGAGUCACCCGACUACACGCAGAUGAAAUUCCUGCUUGGCUGCCCUCUCUGCCCCUCAGAUUCCAGUUCGGAUGGAACAUGCGAACAAGGGCUUUAAAAAAAAA